UACAGAGGGUGCGAGCGUUAAUCGGAAUUACUGGGCGUAAAAGCGUGCGUAGACGGUUACGUAAGUCGGGUGUGAAAGCCCCGGGCUCAACCUGGGAAUUGCAUUCGAGACUGCGCAGCUAGGGUGCGGAAGAGGGAAGCGGAAUUUCCGGUGUAGCGGUGAAAUGCGUAGAUAUCGGAAGGAACAUCAGUGGCGAAAAGCGGGCUUCCAUG
rnacentral:rRNA from 1 species